UACGAAGGGGGCUAGCGUUGCUCGGAAUCACUGGGCGUAAAGCGCACGUAGGCGGAUCUUUAAGUCAGGGGUGAAAUCCUGGAGCUCAACUCCAGAACUGCCUUUGAUACUGGGGAUCUCGAGUCCGGGAGAGGUGAGUGGAACUCCGAGUGUAGAGGUGAAAUUCGUAGAUAUUCGCAAGAACACCAGUGGCGAAGGCGGCUCACUGGCCCGGUACUGACGCUGAGGAGCGAAAGCGUGGGGAGCGAACAGG
rnacentral:rRNA from 1 species